rnacentral:lncRNA from 1 species
AUAUAUAUAUAUAUAUAUGGAUAAUCUAAAGUUCACAACUCUUCAAAUUACAAAGGUUAAUGAUAUAAUUAGUUGUGAAGGGUGGAUCUACUAACUUUGUGGUCUAUUUAUUAAAAAAAGUUACUUUUUGUGAUAUCUUGCUCAUUAAGUGUAUUUUUUGUAAAUAUCACUAUAAGACAAAUGGUACUUUUGUCAUUUCCAUAAGGGGUAAAAUUGAAAUUUUUAUAAAGAACAAGAGCACUUUACAAAUAAAGUUCCAGGAUACUAACAACCAAAAUACUAUUGUACUUUUGUAAAACUUUCAAAUUUGUCGUUGCUUAGUGGUUAAGUUAUAUAUUAACAUAAUUUUUAAAACAAAAAGUCAAGAUCUUUUUGAUAAAUACACCAUCAUAACCCCUUCUAACUUUAACCUUUAUAUUGUGGCGUUGUUAACUCUAGACAAACCCAUAUAUAUUUCUAUAUGGAAAAAGAUAUGGUCAGCAACCUCAUGUAGAUAAGCUAAAUGCACCAAUGGCCCAGAUUGAAUCUGGGCUGAUCUGACGAUCACGGAACUCCGAUAGUGUCCAGUAGUGUUUGAAUUUUUU